UACAGAGGGUGCGAGCGUUAAUCGGAAUUACUGGGCGUAAAGCGCGUGUAGGCGGCCCUGCAAGUCGGGUGUGAAAUCCCACGGCUCAACCGUGGAAGUGCACUCGAAACUGCAGGGCUAGAGUCCUGGAGAGGAAGGUGGAAUGCUUGGUGUAGAGGUGAAAUUCGUAGAUAUCAAGCGGAACACCGGUGGCGAAGGCGGCCUUCUGGACAGUGACUGACGCUGAGACGCGAAAGCGUGGGGAGCAAACAGG
rnacentral:rRNA from 1 species